rnacentral:rRNA from 1 species
AACCUGCGGAAGGAUCAUUACUGAAUUGUCAACACGAGUUGUUGCUGGUCCUCAAAUGGGGGCAUGUGCACACUCUGUUUACACAUCCACUCACACCUGUGCACCCUCUGUAGUUCUGUGGCUUGGGGGGUUCUGUCCUCCUGCUGUGGUUCUAUAUCCUUUACACACACUCUGUAAUAAAGUCUUAUGGAAUGUAUACUGCGUUUAAUGCAAUGCAAUACAACUUUCAGCAACGGAUCUCUUGGCUCUCGCAUCGAUGAAGAACGCAGCGAAAUGCGAUAAGUAAUGUGAAUUGCAGAAUUCAGUGAAUCAUCGAAUCUUUGAACGCACCUUGCGCCCUUUGGCUAUUCCGAAGGGCAUGCCUGUUUGAGUAUCAUGAACACCUCAACCCUUCAUGGUUUUCCAUGAUGGGCUUGGACUUUGGGGGUCUUGCUGGCCUGUGGUCAGCUCCUCUCAAAUUAAUCAGCUUUCCAGUGUUUGGCAGCAUCACAGGUGUGAUAACUAUCUACACUUGUGGUUUUCUGCCAGGUAAUCCUCAGUGAUGGGGAUUUGCUGGGGCUCAUAAAUGUCUCUCCUCAGUGAAGACAGCUUUGUGAAUGUUUGAUCUCAAAUCAGGUAGGACUACCCGCUGAACUUAAGCAUAUCAAU